AACGAACGCUGGCGGCAUGCCUAACACAUGCAAGUCGAACGAGACCUUCGGGUCUAGUGGCGCACGGGUGCGUAACGCGUGGGAACCUGCCCUUAGGUUCGGAAUAACUCCCCGAAAGGGGUGCUAAUACCGGAUAAUGUCUUCGGACCAAAGAUUUAUCGCCUUUGGAUGGGCCCGCGUUGGAUUAGCUAGUUGGUAGGGUAAAAGCCUACCAAGGCGACGAUCCAUAGCUGGUCUGAGAGGAUGAUCAGCCACACUGGGACUGAGACACGGCCCAGACUCCUACGGGAGGCAGCAGUGGGGAAUAUUGGACAAUGGGCGAAGGCCUGAUCCAGCCAUGCCGCGUGAGUGAUGAAGGCGUUAGGGUUGUGAAGCUCUUUUACCCGGGAUGAUAAUGACAGUACCGGGAGAAUAAGCACCGGCUAACUCCGUG
rnacentral:rRNA from 1 species